GUAAGGAAUAUUGGUCAAUGGACGAAAGUCUGAACCAGCCAUGCCGCGUGAAGGAUGAAGGCCCUCUGGGUUGUAAACUUCUUUUAUCUGGGACGAAAAAAGGGUAUUCUUACUCACUUGAUGGUACCAGAGGAAUAAGCACCGGCUAACUCCGUGCCAGCAGCCGCGGUAAUACGGAGGGUGCAAGCGUUAUCCGGAUUCACUGGGUUUAAAGGGUGCGUAGGUGGGUAUUUAAGUCAGUGGUGAAAUCUCCGAGCUUAACUCGGAAACUGCCAUUGAUACUAUUUACCUUGAAUGCCCUGGAGGUAAGCGGAAUAUGUCAUGUAGCGGUGAAAUGCUUAGAUAUGACAUAGAACACCAAUUGCGAAGGCAGCUUACUACGGGGUGAUUGACACUGAGGCACGAAAGCGUGGGGAGCAAACAGGAUUAGAAACCCCUGUAGUCC
rnacentral:rRNA from 1 species